UAUUAUGCUUACAGUACGAGAUUACUCUCAAACUAACUAAUAAAAUUAAUUACUUGAUGACUUGACUUAUCUAUUCUCCUGCCAAAUUAUCAAACAACAUAAAGAGUAAAUUUUAAUUUUUUUUUCAAGAUUGGGUAGAUGCUGUUCGGUAUCGCAACGUUGAAUUAUGUAUGUUUCAUACUGCGUCUUAAUAUUAUUUAGUACAUAUGAAUGUGUUGACUUUGUUCAUCCAUAACUCUAAUUCAAAAGCAUUUUUAACAAACAAAGCGCUUUAUUGCUCCAUAGGCGCGCCUCGUUUCAUCUAAUCACUUCAUCGUUGCACACAAAUUUUUGUUUGCCUUUUUGCAAUGACAAAAUUAGGAUUUUGUUGUGCAAAACCGACCUACACUGCAUCUACAACUAGAGCAGCUGCCCCACUUUCCCACUUUAUGAACAAGGAAAAACGUCCGAUUAACCGCUUGGCUAUUUUUCUCUCAUACUAAAUCCAUCCUUAUGUUUAAUUUUAAUUUUUAAAUUUUUAAAAAAGAAUAAAAAUUUUUUUGCCUAGUUUUACCUUGCUGGGAUGAAAGCGGGCAAGCAAUGAAAUAGUGGUUGAUUGUGAUGUAAAUACUGAAAUCGCAGAUUAUGAAAUUUUU